GUGGGGAAUAUUGGGCAAUGGGCGAAAGCCUGACCCAGCAACGCCGCGUGAGGGAAGAAGGCCUUCGGGUUGUAAACCUCUGUCCUUGGUGACGAAAAAAAUGACGGUAGCCAAGGAGGAAGCCCCGGCUAACUACGUGCCAGCAGCCGCGGUAAUACGUAGGGGGCGAGCGUUGUCCGGAAUUACUGGGCGUAAAGGGUGCGUAGGUGGCCUUUUAAGUUGGAUGUGAAAUACCCGGGCUUAACUUGGGGGGUGCAUCUAAUACUGGAGGGCUAGAGUGCAGGAGAGGGAAGCGGAAUUCCUAGUGUAGCGGUGAAAUGCGUAGAUAUUAGGAGGAACACCAGUGGCGAAGGCGGCUUUCUGGACUGUAACUGACACUGAGGCACGAAAGCGUGGGGAGCAAACAGGAUUAGAAACCCUGGUAGUCC
rnacentral:rRNA from 1 species